AAACUAGGUCUUGUUAUGUCGCCAAGGCUGGUCUCCUACUCCUGGUCUCAAGUGAUCCUCCCACCUCUGCCUCCCAAUGCACUGGAGUUACAGGCAUGAGCCACUGUGCUCAGCCUGUAAUUGUUUUAGGACUGUACAAAUCAUGCCCAUAUAAGAUGAAUCUCUUAUACCUGACAGAAGUCAUGCCAGUUAGAGAUACUUGUGCAAGGCUUGGAUAACAAAAGUGAAACAGAAACUCCUCCUUGUUUAUGGCAGCUGAUACACAAAUCCCCAAAAUGAAAGCAUUUACAGCAGCUAGAAGAUCUGUUCCUCAGGAGAGUCACGUGUGUGCUGGGUGUGAGGCAGUCUGGACAAUGGUUGCAAUGGAGCAAUAACAAGAGGGGCCCCUGACAUCC
rnacentral:lncRNA from 1 species